ACAUGCGUAGGAUCACCAGUACAGUUAGUAGCACUCGAGAUGUCGAGGAGCCAGUGCUUCGCCGGGGUAAGCACUCUCAGUCUCCCAUUAUGGAAACGGGACACCUUGGAAGAGCCAUCCCCCAUGCACCUGUGACCUCACAGUCUUGGGGCCGAUCAUACACCCACCAACCACUGGCUGCUGAUACCGCAAGCCCCACUCCAAAACCGAGCCACAGCCCAGCUUCCUGGAGAUGGCAGCUACCAAGCAGUGACUCACACCACCUGGGAAGUUCAUAUGACCAGGGGUCUAAGACAGCAGGGGCCCCCUCCAGAGGAGGGGACCUGUGGUCCAAUCGGAAUCAAGGGUCGGGGGCCAGAGCGGAGGGGAGGAGCGGAGUGGGAAAUCGACCAUGGAGCCGUCAGUCUGAACAACAUUAGACUGCUCAGGUUUGGGCACAACCUCUACCGCUUAGAGGACAGCACUCCAUUAAUCUCUCAGUGACACAAGCAAAGCCAAACACCAGUCUCUCAUCAUCUAAUGGCUACAACUAUUACCACCAUCUACUACAGGCAACAUCUGCAGCUUUCAUAACAAGCAAAGAAAAGAAAAACAGCGGUUGCAGCCACAUAGAAGAACAAACCACAGACCCGACCCUGAGUGUUGCCUGAGAUGUGAACGGCUGUUCCUAUCCAGAACUUUCUCUGUACCAAAAGAGGCAUAAAUGGAGAGACAGUACCUGGACAGUGGCGUGGACGUCGCCUCACCAGCCCGUGUAUCCUCUUCUGCUUCUUGUGUUGGAUGUAUUCUAGUGUAAUCCUGAAACUUGACAAGGGAGAGGUUGGCAUGCUGAGGAUGGCUGGAGGUUUUCUUGCAUGCCAAAGAGAGUUGGAGGAAGAAGGACUUUAAAUUUAGGAAUGCCUUUCCCAGAGGACCAUUACAACUGGAUAUGUUGCUUUUGAAUCAGACUUACAACAACCUGAACUUCAUUCAACAGCAGUACAAUGUUAAAGAUGCAUCUUCAUCUCAUAGGGCUGGAUCUUCAUGCAGAAUAGACAGAUCUUUACCUUAAAUGUGACCAAAAACAGGAAGCGAAUUACCAUCUUUGCAGACUUGCAUUAUAAUAUUUGCUCUUUCUUACUGAGCUCAUAGUUGCUUUGAUGACUCAAUCAGGCCAUUAACUUUAUAAUUUACUCACAUAUAUAUACAAAUGCAUACAGACAACAACAAACACGUGCAUUUAUGACUUUAGGUUUACUUUUACCCGCUGUCACCACCUUCUGGCAUGCAGUGACCCUCAACUGGAUUUAAUUUGGGGUCUUGUGUUGAGCAAGCAUUUGCAUGUUUCCAAGUAGUACAUGAAGAGUGCAUAAAAAAGUGUGACUCAGCAUACACUGCUUAAUGGAUUGCUGGUUGGCCACAUUUUAGAAGUGUACACACACACACACACGUAUAUGCUUUCUGACAGACUGGGACCUUAUACUUUCUGACAUUUUUCACCACAGUUUUUUUUUUUCCCACCGUAAUUCGCUUCCUGUUCUGUAUCAUCCUCUCCUUUAUUGCUAAACCAUAUCAAGACAAAAAGAUCAUUGUUUGCACGUAAUGAAAUGUAAUGCACAUGUAGGAAAAAUAGAAUGAUUGAUUGGAGGGGGCAUUGUUUAUAUCCUCAAACCAUGCUGCAAUUUCCAUGGUGCUUUGUUUUAUAGCUGUUGCAACUGUCCGUGUUCAUGUAUUUACGUGAGAGCCGUGGCAAAAAUUUCGGAUUACCAGCAAACCUGGCUUGGCAGGACGGACACUACAGUGCUGCUGUAAAUACUGUGCACAAGCCAGCCAGUGGUAGGCAAGACAAGAGGGUUGGGCUUCUAACAACAAAGAGCUGAAAGUCCAGCUUGUAUAUGACUGGAUUCGCCGUGCGAAUCGUCCCAGCUUACCUCCAUUUCAUAUUUCUAUAGAGGUAUAUUAUUUUGUUACAUCAUAAAAUAUCAACUUGUGGUUGGUAUGUCAGAGCGGUCUUUCAUUGGUGGGGCCCAUAGCAGCAAUAGGGGUGCCAUGGAAACUAAUUUAGUGGCCGCCAGUAAUGAAACACGGUGUUACAUUUUCUGUAAAGUUUGAACAGGUUCCUGCUGGCUUUUUGGACCGACACAUAAGAUUAACUGAUAUGCGAUGUAUACUUUGAUCUUGGAGAAAAACUUAUGAAUGUCGCCAAGGAAUGCAGCUGAGAAUGACCAAUUGCUUCGUGGCUUGAUGCACCGAUCCAACACGACUGCGCUCUCUGUCUGACAGCACGAUUUAACCUUAACUGUGACAACUCUGAACACACGGGAUCUGCUCAAGAACCUGGAACUUUUAAAGUCUGUUUGUUCUGCUGUUGAUUUCAGUGCUGUUGAGUCAGAGUGUGCAGUUUCAGUCUGACCACAUUUCUCAGUUCUCCACCAUCUUAGCUGUAAUAUUUAUUAGUGUCUAUAUAUGUAUAAGUUCUUUUAUUGUGAAGAGGUCUGCUGGGUGCCAAGAGCCCGGUCUGUUGCCACUUUACCAUUUAUAUCUGCAAGUAGGUGAUUAUAUGCAGUCAAACUGUCUCCCAUGCGAUAUCUGUAACUUCGUGUCAUCGUACCGAUCCUAGAUGGGGGCUGUGAAGUGAGAAGUCCAAACUGAAGUGUACGUUUGCCUUCAGAAUGCACAUUUUCACUACUUUUACCCUUUUGCUAGUGAUAUCUGCAGCAUGCUCAUUUGUGCCUUGAUGUACAGUAAGAGAGAGAGACUGUCCCAGCACAUUCAGAUUUUCACCCUGUUCUUCCACUUGCUCUGCAGAUAACUGACGUACAGUACUGAUUGUAAAGCUACCUUCUUAACGUUAUAUGAUCUUUACAUUUGUGUUGCAAAAAGUAUUUUGGUUUAAAACGAUGUUUUGUGUUGGAGCUACGCUCCCUUUUUAAGAAUAUAGACUGCACCGCUCCAGAAAGCCAUGUCCUCUGGGUUUGUCUGUUGGAGUUGCAGGGUGUAGUGCAGCUUCAGAAAGGAUUUCCUUGUGGCCUCUGUACAGCUACUGUUUGCUCUAUGAUGGAGCAAAAACAGACCUGGCAUAAGUGUUCAGAACAAUCAGUGCACAUGCCAAGGCUUGAUGAUUAUACAGUCCUUCUUCUCUGUCUUGUAUUGUUUCUACCACCACUCAUUUAACAGUACCGUUUGUCAUGUAUCAUUAGGGAAAGCAGUUUCUUCUCUCCUCUUCUUCUUCCGAGUCUCUGGAUCUUCCUUGGAUUCUCUCUUUUUUUUUUUUUCCUAAAAUGGAAGCCAUUGUCCUAAACAGUGAUUAUAUGUUUAGUUUGGGAGUUGGAGAGUUGUUGCUUUUUGAAGGCCAGAGGCCUGUUACUAGAUAGCUGAAGGGUCAAAGGUCAGGGAUGCAUCUAAUCCUGCUUCUACAUCUUCACUGACGAUUUCUAAUUGUAGGAGGGAGAAAACAGAUGAGGGUGUCCGAUGUCUGGUGCAGCCAGCACUCAUAAUGCCAGACAUGCACAUGGUUGUCCUUUUGGUGUAUGUUGAUUUUAAUAUAUCAGUAAGGUCUCUUGUUCAGAACUUGUCAUGUGAACUGGCGUGUUGUGAACUGCUGCAGGUGCUGAAUGACAAAAAUGCACGUUUUGUCAGGGUUUGCAUACAGGGCCCAUUUUGUUUAUUUAUCUUUAAGGUUGACUUCACCGUGGGUCAGGGUUACUGUGUAUAGCAACUUGGUGAUACAAGUCAUAACAUCAUAGUCCUCCUCAGCUUUUAGCCUGCCUUACUGCUGCCAUAGAGUUUCUUCCCUCCAUGCAGUAAGUGAUACUCUGCCAUGCAAACAGUUUCACCUGUUACUACACAUAAACUGUGUGACCUCCUUAAUUCUUCUACCUUUCUUACCUUCUACUCUUAAACCUUUCUCUCACCCUGAGGCAAGUGCUUGGGUAUCCCAGGAAGAGCCCAACUGUCCCAAACUUGUAGUACUGGUUUUCUGGCACAUUGGAGGGUUUCCCUCCUGAAGACAGGCUUCAAAAGAAGCAGGGCUCUUUAAAUGGCUAAUGUGAAACCCCAUCCUCUGCUGUGCACACCACCUCUCUUCCUUACAUGGCUGUAAAUUGCACUAAUAUCACUACUUACCAACUGUAUAUCUUCGCCAUCCACUGAAAGUUGCCUAAAUAAAAUCUGUGUGCCGUGAAAAAGACUGGUUGCAACUUCUGUCUGUAUGUUUUGGGCAUGUCACUACUCGCAUGUCGCUUAUUACUUCCAGUGGCAAGAGCCUGUUCACUGUUGGCAUGGUAACAUGUACUCACUGGUCGUGUGGGACUCGAAUCAAGACUUUUGUGCCAGUAUAAAGAGACAUCUGGGUGCUGUUUCAGAGUUUGUCGGUUCCUCUAAUCCACAUGUGAAUGAUGGCUGUUCAGGGGAACAUUUGUUAAAUCAGAGAGCAGGUAGGGUAGCUGCUACUGGAGAAGAACAUUUUGGACAUGGCUUAGGAUAAUUUAAAAAGUCCAGCAAGGACAAGAGGUGGUUGAUUAGUGGAGAGAAAUUGGGCUGCUUCGGCUUUCCUGCUCAAAUACCAGCUAGAAAUUUAACAGAAUCCUCUAAAGCUCUUCUGGUGUAUGCAUAAACAUCCGUUAUUUACACGUCAUAGUUUGUUCCCCCUUUAAUAAAGUAGACUAGAAUAUACUAAGUGGAGAUUGUUGUGGCUCGGAAACGGCUCUCGGGCUGUGAGAAGGCCCUUUUUUGCUCAAAGGCCUCUUGCGGAUCCAGGGUUAUGGUGUCAUUGGGUGUCAUAGGCUGUAAUCUGCACUUAACCAGCACUUAACUUUUAGACUUCAAACGGCUAACACCACCUUUAGUCAUCUUCAUUAGAAAGUUUCCUCUUUUGUGUCCCAGUAUUGUACUUGGUCUGUUUUCAGUAGCUGAUGCUGAAUUUGUUUGUGCCCCAGCCAAGAAUCUUUUUUUUUUUUUUUUUUAAGAGAA